GGAAUCAUACUAUAAAUAUCAAAGGUAACUCUUGAACCCUAGAUCUGCUUUUCUCUCUCUCUCGGCGGCUGCUCUCUGUUUCUUCUCGUAAGUUUCUUUUCACUUCCAUAUAAUUCAUAUAAUUUCAUCUUCUUAGUUUUGUUCAUAUAAUUCAUUGUCUCCAUCAAUUUCUCUAACUUGUUUAUGUUUCUUCCUUUUUUUUCUUCCAUUCACAUUGGAUAAUCUUAAGAGUUUAAGAUUGAAAGAUUACUUGAUUUGCUAGAUUUUGGACCUUUGAUUUUUAUGAUUAGUUAAGGGUUUUCUGUUUUGGUACUGGGAUCCUAGAUGUUCUCUUCCUCUGCUCUCUGUUUUGGUCUUCUCUUUCAUCAUGUCUUGUUCUUUUAGUGAUGUUCCACUGAUGUCUUCAAUAGAUGCUUGUUUGGUUGGUAGUACUCUUAAAUUUAUGACUAUUUAAGUUUGAUUAGUAUCUAUAGUAAUCUAGAGGUUUUUUUUGUUCUUAUUUAUGCUAUUAUAUAAGUGUGUGUGUGGUAGAGUGAAAUUGUUAAUCUAUAUGCAUACGUAUAUGUUAACUUUGUAGAAACCUACUAUCCUUAUUACAAUUUAAACUUUUCAUUCUACUUAUGAUCCUUAGGUAGUGACUUGAUUUUAACUCCUAAAUAACAAAACAACAAUGAUGCACANNNNN
rnacentral:lncRNA from 1 species